CUGUGCCAGCAUUAGCUGUAUUACAAGGCAGCUAUUUAGGAAGAUUACAACAACUUUUCCAGCCCUGGCAGCUGUCACAGCGCACACCGAAUCUGAGGCACUGGACGUGGCUUGGAUCAAGUUGAUGCAGUCUAUGCCCAGCCCUGGACUCCGCUCCUGUUGCACCGCAAACACAAAAUCUGUCUCAGUUACAUCCAGAAGAAUCAUCUAUAUCCAUGGGCUAAGACAGCACUAGAGAUGGUCUCUGUCCCAGAAACUGGACUCCAUAAGCGUCACAGAAAUGCGUGCUGGCUGCUCUCGAAAGACCUGGUGGCUAAGGCUGCCUGCUUUCAAAUCCUCCAAGAACCCUGGCAUGGACCAGCUCUCUCCAAAGAGUCACCUUCAAGAUCCAGAGUCUUGGAUUUGGCAGUGGAGCCUCCUGUCAACAGCUGGUCCAAGAGAGGAGGGGAGGAAUGCGAGAAACCACCACGAAACAAGCUUGAGUUUGCAGCCCAUUGUUAUAUAUGAUCCCAGCUGGACUACUUCAAAAGAAAGCCAUUGCUGUGGUGUUCCUGCUGGCGUUAGCUGUGAUGAAAAUGUCUGACCCUUCAACCCAGGUCUUGAUGGAUAAAGCAAGUUCCAGCUUUUACCAAAGCUUUGCCCACUGAGUCACCAAGGCUGCAGAUCCCGUAUCGCAGACUUCCUUCAGAAGCAGACAUUCCAAGUGGGUUACUUGGGGAGAGACUAUUUUGAUCUAAAAUCUAAAUAAAACUUGGAUAAUACAUGUUGGAUUGAAAACAGCAGUGGCCAAGAGUCAGCAGCUGCAGCAGGGAGCAACAGACACCUUAGUCUCUUAAUGUAUGAAGAGAUGGAGAAAAAGUAUUUACUAAGGCUGAAUUUUUUACCCACUGUGGCACUGGUGAAAGCAUAACCAUGCUGACAAAGCUAUAGCUGAGUGAUUUACAGUGCGGUACUUCCAUGAAGAGACCUCAAAAGUGGAGUCCACCACAACCCAAGUAUCAGCCAAACCAGUCAACUGGCAGUAACACCAGCCGGGGUGGAAACUUAUGUCGAUAAAGUACUAUGGCUGGCAAAGAAUUGGGAACCAAAUAAAAUAUUAGGUGAAAGAAGAGCGUCCUGGGAAUAAAAUUGUUUGAAAGAGCCCCUGUUGGCAAACACAGACCAAGGACAAAUGCCAAGCAGGCUCAGUUGAAUAAGCUUUAAACCUUUUAUAGAAAGCUGAAGCACAAAAGCUUAUCCUAAUCCAACCUAUUUAUAUGAGUGUUUUCUGAA